AUCCGGAGGGUGCAAGCGUUACUCGGAAUCACUGGGCGUAAAGCGCGCGCAGGCGGUCUUUUAAGUUGGAUGUGAAAGCCUACGGCUCAACCGUAGAACUGCAUCCAAAACUAUUAGACUAGAGUGUGGGAGAGGAAGAUGGAAUUAGUUGUGUAGGGGUAAAAUCCGUAGAGAUAACUAGGAAUACCAAAAGCGAAGGCAAUCUUCUGGAACACUACUGACGCUGUGGCGCGAAAGCGUGGGGAGCAAACAGGAUUAGAAACCCUAGUAGUCC
rnacentral:rRNA from 1 species